AUGGGUUCACUCCAUGGGUUGAAUAUCAUGACUUGGCCACAGUCCCAGUGGCCGAGUGCUGCAACAGUAAGAGCCAUCCAGGAUGAUGAUCCAGAAGUGAGAAAUGAGAUUACUGCUAAUACGAUUAUGGUAAAAACAGACGAAUGUCCAACCAGCAAACUUCUGAAUUAUUUCUCCAAAUGGGUAACUCUCAAAAGAAUUGUUGAGGUUUGUGUCUUCAUUGUGCACGUGCCGGGGGUUAAUGACACAGGAGCCUGCUUGUGUGAGAAGGAGGCGAUUUUCUCAGCUCCUUCAGAAGAGAGGGAAAAACGGUUCAGUCAAGUAAUGUUCAUAAUUCCAUCACGUUAUUAUUAUUAUUAUUAUUGUUAUUAUUAUUAUCUUUUUACUAAGAGUAAAGGAAUGUUUGGUUUUGUAGAUGUUGAAAGCCAGAGGCAUAGGAGAGCAUUAUUCUUUUGAGACUGAAUUCAAGUGAUUUUUAGAAAAUAAAUGUUUCCAUUUUGAUACAACAACAGUAUGAUUACGUGUUCAUAUUUUAUUUAAACCAUUGAUGUCUGUGUUUUUCAUUGCAGAACUCAAACCAACUUUGAAGUUGUCUGAUUUGGAGAGUCAUCAUUCUUGGUUAUUGUAGAAGUAAGCCAUGCCAAUAUAUAUAUAUAUAUAUAUAUAUAUAUAUAUAUAUUUAUAUAUAUAUAUAUAUAUAUAUAUAUAUAUAUACACACACACAUAUAUAUAUAUAUAUAUAUAUAUAUAUAUAUAUAUAUAUAUAUAUAUAUAUAUAUAUAUAUAUAUAUACUGUAUAUAUAUGAAUAAAUCUUAAAUUAUAUCAUAGCGAACAUGUCUGUUCAGAAGAAAAUAUUGGUCUCCCAGGCUUGUAUUUAAGAACAAAAAUUAAGAGAAGAUGAAUUAAAUUUGUUUGUAUUCCAAAAAUUGGCAGACUUUGUAUGCGUUUGGAACAACAUGGGGGAGAAUAAAUUGUGACCAUUGAGAACUAGCCCUUUAAAAAGCAGCCCUCCACGUACAUGAACAUUUGUUUGUUUUAAUGUUUCAGUAAAGAAGUAGCUUUCUGAAAGCAAUAUAUUUAUUUAAACAAUAUUACAUGCCCUCACACUAGUGCUGUCAUUAUAGCAUUCUAAAGCACUGUGGUAGAUGGAGACAGAGAAAUUAUAAAACAGACCAUUUACCUAUACUGAUCGUACUAUCUGAAAAUGGAUAGAUUUUAAUUAUUAUUAUUAUUAUUAUUAUUUUUUCAAAUGUUUUUUUCUUUUUAGGCCAUUGAUGAAGAACAGGCAGUGACUGGGAUGAAUGCUGGUCAAAGAAUAUAAUGUCCUUUCCCCCAAACUGAUGCAAUAGUGAUUUUAAUAUUGCUCUGUAUAAUGUAAAAGAUGUUACAUGCCUUUGCUGUGCUGAUGGGGCUUCUUCAUGACUACAUCAAUUAUCCUAAAGAGAUCAUGAAAAUUGACAGUGAUGCAGGACCUGUAUAUUUAUGGACUAUGAAACAAACUGUAAGUGUAUAGUUUGUAAAAACAAAAUAUUAAAUGAUUGUUCUGUUUAGUAGAAAUGGAGUUUACACUCUGUCAUUAAUUCACAUGCUCACAUUCUUUCACACAUAUGUUUCUAAUAAAUGUUAUACAAUCAGUCUUAAUGUUGUGGUUUAUUUACUGCCAUGCCAGAAUAUAAUAUAUAAAAUUUGCCAAAAAAAGUAAAAUUUGAUCUAUAAAAGUUAUGUUUAAUUUUUAAUU
ensembl:lncRNA